UAUAGAGGUCUCAAGCGUUGUUCGGAUUCAUUGGGCGUAAAGGGUGCGUAGGCGGCGCGGUAAGUCGGGUGUGAAAUUUCGAGGCUUAACUUCGAAACUGCAUUCGAUACUGCCGUGCUAGAGGACUGGAGAGGAGACUGGAAUUUACGGUGUAGCGGUGAAAUGCGUAGAUAUCGUAAGGAAGACCAGUGGCGAAGGCGGGUCUCUGGACAGUUCCUGACGCUGAGGCACGAAGGCCAGGGGAGCAAACGGG
rnacentral:rRNA from 1 species